rnacentral:lncRNA from 1 species
CCGUCACCAAGCUCUGCCACUCCGCCGCAUCUCGCCUGCGCAGCGGAUGCUCCCCUUCUCAUCCUCCCUCGUCGCCGUCCGUGUGCGUCCUCCGGGCGAAGCCCCCGCGCAGAUCCGACAGCGGCGGGACCUCUGGUGCGUUGGAGCGGCUCGGAUGCGAGCGAGGGCGCUCGGGUUCCUCCUGCCCACGUGCUGGGAGAUCGAGGUCAUCUGCGCCGCGGCCAUGCUCAUCGUCGCGCUCUACGCCGCCUGCGAGCUCCUCGUCCCGCGGUCCUCGCUAGCGGGCGCCGACGACCUCGGCCUCGCCCGGGAACUCGACGGCGCCGACAAGGUAAGCAAGCUCCGGCGGUUUGCCUGGGGUCCGUCAGUGGGGAAAAUAUUUGGGCGGUUAAUUACGGCGCGACGACCAACAAUCACCCAUGCUAACGUUGCGAGCGUUUUCGGUUUGGCUUUUCCGGGAUUGAUGCUCGGUAUAAGGGAGGUUCCACCGGGCCGUCGGCGUACGUGGUGAAGGUGACCGGCUGAUCAGCCCCUUGUCUCUGAUUUUGUUGCGGCCCCUGAUUGUGAUUGGCUCUGUGAGCGAUCGUGUGAUUUGGGUACGUGCCUGUAACAUCUGGAGCUGCUAGCCGCGAAGAAUUUGAUUGCAGCCAACUUGAAUGGGACCUCGGACCCUUAUGCACUUAUCACCUGCGGCGAAGAGAAGCGUUUCAGGUUCGGUUCAGUGUUUAUAUGUAGAGUCUCUUCUGCAAUGAUGUAGAUUCAUAGUUUGGCUCACAUUCAGAUCUACAACGCCAUGUUUUCCUCACAUUCAUAGUUUGGUUCUUUAUUGUGGAAUCUCAUGUCAUCUUCUGAUAUUUUGACAGGAAUUGGUGUCCAUAUAAAAUGGGGAGCAGUUCUCCCUUAGGAAAUUUUUAGGAUAUUGUUUGGCAGUAAGUUUUGAUGUUUUAUUGCCAAGGAGAACAAACAUGACUUCAAGCAGACUGAAUCCAUUAUUCUCAUAGAUUCUUCAUGCUUAAAUUGAUGGGCUAUCUUCCAUUUGCCAGAAUAUGAUUCUUUUCUUCAUGAUCCUCUGAGACAUGUCGCCUCACUGCCACCGUCAGUCGCCCCCAGGUCGCUGUCUCCACUCGCCAGCCACCAGACGCUCCCCUUAUAUGUGCUAAGGAUGCAAUGUCGACCACAUAUCAACUAACAGGUCUUCUGAUAGGAACCAAUUAUUUGUGCUAAUCUUCGAACUCUGUUACAAGAGAUUUCCUAAAACUAAGGUCAGUUACAUGGCGAAGAAAUCUUCAAGCACAGGAAACAUUGUAUCCCUAUCCUCUGAAGCAACAGCAUGCGCAUGUCGCUCACGACUUACAAUGAAAUACCAUCCAGUCAUGCUACUUGGGUAUAAAUAUAGAAUUCUUACGAAGUCUGUUUUUCCCGGGAAUUUGUUUGUUUGUUACUCUUUAUGGUUCUUACAAAGUGAUGCACAUUGUGCUCCUGCCUCACUUGGUGCCUGGGUAUUUAUUUAGAUAAAGUGAUUAAGAAAUGCAUAUAUAGUAAAUCUCAAAAAGUCCAGCUAAUAUGCUUGCAUGUUUGCCAUGAAAUUACAGUACGACAUGUUGUUCAAAAGAUUUUGGCUCCAUGAGGAAAAAGCUAAAUCCAAUUACAACACGUUAGUGGAGUUCACAACCUGUAUCUUUGAGUGGUGCAAUGGGUUGUGUGGAUAUGCUGCGCUAAGGAUGAGCGGGUCAAGGUGCUCGACUGGCAGCAAGAGGAGGAUAAUUCCAUCAG